UUUGCAGGGAAUGUGUCGGCAUUGUGCUGUGAUUAAUGCACUUUGUUAUGAAGUGUGCCUUCAAAUUUAUUGCUAGGAAGAUGAGCAGUGGUGUUUUAAUUGCGACAAUUAAAUUGUCAACAAUCAUCUUCCUGGCAACA